rnacentral:misc_RNA from 1 species
ACACCUCAACUCUCAUGGCCUUGCCGUGAUGAGCUUGGACUUUGGAGGUCUUGCUGGCCUGCGGUCGGCUCCUCUCAAAUGGAUCAGCUUGCCAGUGUUUGGUGGCAUCGCAGGUGUGAUAACUAUCUACGCUUGUGGUUUUCUGCCAAGUAACCUUCAGUGAUGGAGGUUCGCUGGAGCUCACAAAUGUGUCUCUCCUCAGCGAGGACAGCUCUUUGAAC